rnacentral:rRNA from 1 species
AGUGAACGCUGGCGGUAGGCCUAACACAUGCAAGUCGAACGGCAGCACAGUAAGAGCUUGCUCUUACGGGUGGCGAGUGGCGGACGGGUGAGGAAUACAUCGGAAUCUACUUUUUCGUGGGGGAUAACGUAGGGAAACUUACGCUAAUACCGCAUACGACCUACGGGUGAAAGCAGGGGAUCUUCGGACCUUGCGCGAUUGAAUGAGCCGAUGUCGGAUUAGCUAGUUGGCGGGGUAAAGGCCCACCAAGGCGACGAUCCGUAGCUGGUCUGAGAGGAUGAUCGGCCACACUGGAACUGAGACACGGUCCAGACUCCUACGGGAGGCAGCAGUGGGGAAUAUUGGACAAAGGGCGCAAGCCUGAUCCAGCCAUACCGCGUGGGUGAAGAAGGCCUUCGGGUUGUAAAGCCCUUCUGUUGGGAAAGAAAAGCAGCAGGUUAAUACCCCGCUGUUCUGACGGUACCCAAAGAAUAAGCACCGGCUAACUUCGUG